rnacentral:rRNA from 1 species
AUGCCUGGUACAAUGGAAAAAUUGUUGAUGUUUUAUGGUGACAUCAUACGUGACGGCCCUUUCGGGGUUGAUGUCUCGAGGUGCAGAAGUAAGAGAGUUUUUGUGAAAGACAUGGUCAACACAGGGUUCAUGGACGUUAAAAGGUGCAUCCAAGCCGAGUUUGGUCCUGAGACGGUUGGAAAGAAUAUGGUUGUCAAAGCUUUCGUCGUCGUCGGUAGGGUUGAUGGGACCCCUGCCCGUUGGGGCUUGAGGCAGGUGAACGGCGACCUAUCUUGGGGUAGUUACAUGAGGUUUGCAACCACACCUGGUAACUCUAUGUAUGGACGGCCAAUGGUUUAUGUGCGGUUUGUUGAUGCUGGUGUGCUCCGGUUAACUACCACUGGAGGCGCUCACACCCAAUCAGUGGCGCCGAUGGGGGCAAUCAUGUCCGUGAAGAAGGUGUGGUGGUUCCAACCGUGA